AGAUUAUUGGUAGUAGAGAGAAUGGACUUCAGUUGAGUAUGAUAAACUACCUAGUAAAUUUGCUUUCGAUAGACUUAUAAGCUUCACUAUUUACAUUAAAUACAUCAUAUCACUUUCCCCCCCUGUUUUAUAUGUUUUUCCCGCAGAUGUAGUAACACUUGCAGAAAUAGUGGCAACUAUGAAGCUCAAAGUAUUGGUUUCAUGCAUCAACAGUUGGGUUGACAAGAAUGCACUCGCUGCUAAACUUGCAUUUGCGU
rnacentral:lncRNA from 1 species